GAGCCUAUAGCUCAGUGGU
rnacentral:siRNA from 1 species